rnacentral:rRNA from 1 species
CCUGGUUGAUCCUGCCAGUAGUCAUAUGCUUGUCUCAAAGAUUAAGCCAUGCAUGUCUAAGUAUAAACAAGUUUGUACUGUGAAACUGCAAAUGGUUUAUUAAAUCAGUUAUAGUUUAUUUAAUGGUACCUUGUUACAUGGAUAACUGUGGUAAUUCUAGAGCUAAUACAUGCAAUCAAGCUCCAACUUCUGGGAGGGGUGUAUUUAUUAGAUAAAAAACCAAUGCGGUUCGCCACUCUAUUGGUGAUUUAUAAUAACUUCUCAAAUUGCAUGGCCUUGCACCAGCAAUGCCUCAUUCAAAUAUCUGCCCUAUCAACUUUCAAUGGUAGAAUAGAGACCUACCAUGGUUUCAACGGGUAACAGAGAAUAAGGGUUCAAUUCUGAAGAGGGAGUCUGAGAAAUGGCUACCACAUCCAAAGAAGGCAGCAGGCAUGCAAAUUACCCAAUUCCGGUACGGGGAGGUAGUGACAAUAAAUAACAAUAUGGGGCUCUUUUGGGUCUCAUAAUUGGAAUGAGUACAAUUUAAAUCUCUUAAUAAGAAACAAUUGGAGGGCAAGUCUGGUGCCAGCAGCCAUGGUAAUUCCAGCUCCAAUAGUGUAUAUUAAAGUUGUUGCAGUUAAAAAGCUCAUAGUUGAACUUCAGACCUGGCCGGGUGGUCUGCCUAAUGGUAUGUACUGUCUGGCUGGGUCUUACCUCUUGGUGAGUCAGCAUGUCCUUCACUGGGUGUGUCAGGGAACUAGGACUUUUACCUUAAAAAAUUGGAGUGUUCAAAGUAGGCCUAUACCUGAAUACAUUAGCAUGGAAUAAUAAAAUAGGACGUGCGGUUCUAUUUUGUUGGUUUCUAGAGUCACUGUAAUGAUUAAUAGGGAUAGUUGGGGGCAUUAGUAUUUAGUUGCUAGAGGUGAAAUUUUUAGAUUUACUGAAGACUAACUACUGCAAAAGCAUUUGCCAAGGAUGUUUUCAUUAAUCAAGAAUGAAGGUUAUUAGUACAUAUGUGCAUUUAAAUUAGUGUGGUUUAGAGUGUUAUUAUACCAGACAAGGUUAAAAAACUGGUUGCCCAACUGCUCUUAUACCACUGUUUCCCAUAUGACUUUUGCAAAUCUUGACCAAAUGUAUUAGUGCAAUGGUUAAACUGUCUAGUUGAAUAGACUGGGCUCUCAGUUCAA